UGCCAGCCGCCGCGGUAAUACGGAGGGUACGAGCGUUAAUCGGAAUGACUGGGCGUAAAGCGAGCGCAGGCGGUCUGAUCAGUCGGAUGUGAAAGCCCCGGGCUUAACCUGGGAAUUGCAUUCGAUACUGUCAGACUAGAGUAUGGGAGAGGGAAGUGGAAUUUCUAGUGUAGCGGUGAAAUGCGUAGAUAUUAGAAGGAACACCAGUGGCGAAGGCGGCUUCCUGGCCCAAUACUGACGCUCAGGCUCGAAAGCGUGGGGAGCGAACAGGAUUAGAUA
rnacentral:rRNA from 1 species